rnacentral:rRNA from 1 species
AUUGAACGCUGGCGGCAUGCUUUAUACAUGCAAGUCGAACGGUAACAGCACUUCGGUGGCUGACGAGUGGUGAACGGGUGAGUAAUACAUCGGAACGUGCCUAGUAGUGGGGGAUAACUACUCGAAAGAGUAGCUAAUACCGCAUGAGAUCUAAGGAUGAAAGCAGGGGACCUUCGGGCCUUGCGCUACUAGAGCGGCUGAUGGCAGAUUAGGUAGUUGGUGGGAUAAAAGCUUACCAAGCCGACGAUCUGUAGCUGGUCUGAGAGGACGACCAGCCACACUGGGACUGAGACACGGCCCAGACUCCUACGGGAGGCAGCAGUGGGGAAUUUUGGACAAUGGGCGCAAGCCUGAUCCAGCAAUGCCGCGUGCAGGAUGAAGGCCUUCGGGUUGUAAACUGCUUUUGUACGGAACGAAAAGCCCUCUUCUAAUACAGGAGGGUCAUGACGGUACCGUAAGAAUAAGCACCGGCUAACUACGUG